UACGGAGGGGGCUAGCGUUGUUCGGAAUUACUGGGCGUAAAGCGCGCGUAGGCGGACCUGCAAGUCGGGGGUGAAAGCCCGAGGCUCAACCUCGGAACUGCCUUCGAUACUGCGGGUCUCGAGUCCGGGAGAGGUGAGUGGAAUUCCCAGUGUAGAGGUGAAAUUCGUAGAUAUCAGGAGGAACACCGGUGGCGAAGGCGGGUCUCUGGGCCGAUACUGACGCUGAGGAGCGAAAGCGUGGGGAGCGAACAGG
rnacentral:rRNA from 1 species